rnacentral:tRNA from 121 species
GGAGAGGUGGCCGAGUGGCUGAAGGCAACGCUUUGCUAAAGCGUCAUACGGUCUCAAGCUGUAUCGAGGGUUCGAAUCCCUCCCUCUCCGCCA